rnacentral:rRNA from 1 species
GUAGGUGGCAAGCGUUGUCCGGAAUUAUUGGGCGUAAAGCGCGCGCAGGCGGUCCUUUAAGUCUGAUGUGAAAGCCCACGGCUCAACCGUGGAGGGUCAUUGGAAACUGGGGGACUUGAGUACAGGAGAGGAAAGCGGAAUUCCAAGUGUAGCGGUGAAAUGCGUAGAGAUUUGGGGGAACACCAGUGGCGAAGGCGGCUUUCUGGUCUGUAACUGACGCUGAGGCGCGAAAGCGUGGGGAGCAAACAGGAUUGGAUACCCUGGUAGUCCACGCCGUAAACGAUGAGUGCUAAGUGUUAGGGGGUUUCCCGCCCCCCUUAGUGCUGCAGCUAACGCAUUAAGCACUCCGCCUGGGGGAGUACGGCCGCAAGGCUG